rnacentral:rRNA from 1 species
AGAGUUUGAUCCUGGCUCAGGAUGAACGCUAGCGGCAGGCUUAAUACAUGCAAGUCGAGGGGGCAGCAAUGUCACCGGCGAACGGGUGCGUAACGCGUAUGCAACCUACCUACAUCAGGGGGAUAGCCCUAGGAAACUGGGAUUAACACCGCAUAACAAUAGAGUUGGCAUCAACUUUAUUUGAAAUAUUUAUAGGAUGUAGAUGGGCAUGCGUAGGAUUAGCUAGUUGGUAAGGUAACGGCUUACCAAGGCUACGAUCCUUAGGGGCUCUGAGAGGAGUAUCCCCCACACUGGCACUGAGAUACGGGCCAGACUCCUACGGGAGGCAGCAGUAGGGAAUAUUGGGCAAUGGAGGCAACUCUGACCCAGCCAUGCCGCGUGCAGGAAGACGGUCCUCUGGAUUGUAAACUGCUUUUGAAUGGGAAGAAUGUGCUCCUUGCGAGGGGUAAUGACGGUACCAUUAGAAUAAGCCACGGCUAACUACGUGCCAGCAGCCGCGGUAAUACGUAGGUGGCGAGCGUUAUCCGGAUUUAUUGGGUUUAAAGGGUGCGUAGGCGGCUUAAUAAGUCGGUGGUUAAAAGUAGCAGCUUAACUGUUUUACAUGCCAUCGAUACUGUUGAGCUUGAG